AUUGCCUGCCCAGUGACUAAAGUUAAACGGCCGCGGUAUCCUGACCGUGCAAAGGUAGCAUAAUCACUUGUUCCUUAAUUAGGGACUAGCAUGAACGGCUAAACGAGGGUUUAACUGUCUCUUAUUCUCAAUCAGUGAAAUUGACCUUCCAGUGAAGAGGCUGGAAUAUUAUAAUAAGACGAGAAGACCCUAUGGAGCUUUAAUCAAUUAGCUUAAUUACUAAAAUAAACUAAUCUAUUGACCUAAAAAUGAAAUUAUAAGCUAAAAAUUUUGGUUGGGGUGACCUCGGAGAAUAAAAAAUCCUCCGAAUGAUUCUAGCAUAGACCAACAAGUCAAAGCAACCUUACUGAUCUUAUUGACCCAAAAAUCUUUUGAUCAACGGACCAAGUUACCCUAGGGAUAACAGCGCAAUCCUAUUUAAGAGUCCAUAUCGACAAUUAGGGUUUACGACCUCGAUGUUGGAUCAGGACAUCCCAAUGGUGCAGAAGCUAUUAAUGGUUCGUUUG
rnacentral:rRNA from 1 species